GCUGUAGGUCGGGAAAAAGGGGACCUAAAAACAGCGAGGAAUAAAAACCUGCCUGCAUCUUAAAAGACAUUUUUCUAACUUCUGUUUAGGACCUGACUGAAGGAGGCACAAGGUUGAUAGAGAAAAGGCUCAUCCACCUCUAUGAACAUUGGAAGAUUCAGGCACAUACAGCUAGAGCGCAACCCAAAAAGUCAGACAUUCCUGCUAGCCAUAUUGCAGCUCUUAUAGAAAUGCUAGAGAAAGGAAGAGACACGUCACUGACAUCCACACAGAAGUAAGAAACCAUCUCACUCCGUCCAGUGAGACCAGACGUCGAGUCGAUGCCUGUGAGGCUGUGACAAAAGACAUUGUUGAAAUUGCUUAUGUAAGGAUGGCAGCUGUAGACAGUGAUUAUGACAGUGAAACAGUAAGGCAGCGUCUUUGUAACUGCUUAAAAGAGACCAAAUGUCCACUCCAUCUAUGUAUCCACAGUCUCACCUUCUAGUCGACACGCCAGUGAUAAUUCCAGCGAACUACAGGUUCCAUCAUAGCAGCUAAAAGUGUGGAUGCUGCAGCAGAGAUCGCAGCAAGAGAAGCAGAGUAUGAGAAGUUACUGGAGGAGAAAAGGCAGAAGAAAGAUCUUGAAGCCCAGAAACAAGAGCUGGAAAGACUAAAGGCACAGAAAGGUAUAAAAGCUGCAUGUGCUAGAUUGGAAAUUUACAAUCAAGAAAUGAUGCACGAGGCCAAUGUCCAUUCUGCUGAUUGCAGCACUGGAAGACAGCAGCAAGUUUCUUUUCGCCACGCUAUGUAUACAGUUCCCUUUCAGCAGCCCACUUUUCCAAUAGUACCAUCACCUCCACAACCAGAUGUGACUCGUUUUGCUCAAGCCGUCCAGGAUAGCAUAGUUUUAAAAAGACUGCCAAUGCCAGAGCCAUCUGUAUUCAAUGGUGACCCAAUUCAGUUCAGUGAAUGGAAGGCUUCAUUCAAUGUCACAGUGACAUCCAACCUGUCUCCAUAAUGACAGCUACAUUAAAGCCAAACCGGUGCCAGUUCCCAAUCAAAGAACAGACAAAGCAGCAACCACAGUGUGUGUGUGUGGAGAGCCUUGUCUAUGGCCUGCUGGACACACACAAAUUAACUAUCAUGACACGUAAGGCUACAAUAACGCAGAGUGAAAGAGUAAUGGGUCUCAGAGUGCGAGGUUACUCCACAAUUCACAUUGAUCUCCCCCUGCCUAUACCAAAGAAUGCAUACCACUGAUUCAAACACACACUCCUACCUGUGAAAUGGCAAGGAGAUGGAAACAUUAUUGAGCGUGAAGCUCAAUAAUGGAUGAAAUUUCAUCACAACUAGAAUGCGAGGUUGGCUUAUUAAUAGGCUACAAGGACACUGGCACCACGGCAGGUAAUUACAGGAGGAGACAACAAGCCCUUUGCAGUUUGCAUGGAUCUAGGGUGGAGUAUUGUAGGCUGUUUUUCACCUCACCAUGACUUGUCAAGCAUCAUCAAUGUGUGCCAUAGAGUUACUGUCAAAGAGCUUCCUCCAGCAACUCCAGCAGAUGUUAUCAAGGUUCUUGAGUCUGACUUUUAAAAUGUCAGCAAGGAUAAAAUCUCAAGGUGACAUCCUCUUCCUGAAGAUUUGAAAGUAAUGUAUUCUCAAGAACGCUCAUGGCUACUAUAAAAUGCCACUCCCCUUUAAAGAAAGACCCUAUCUCCCAGACAAUAGGCACCUUGCCAUUGUACGGCUCAGUCGUCUCAAAAGGACGUUUCUGAAGGAUGAGCACUACAUGUACUGUUCAUGAAUGAGGUGAUUGAAAGGGUGAUGCAGAACAGGUUCUCAGCAUGGGAAAAGAGGGAGAGAAAUGGCACAUUCCCUACCAUGCAAUCUAUCAACCCAAAAACCCAGAGAACCUUCAUGUUGUUUUUGAUUUCUCUGCUAAGUACAAGGGAACCAGCCUAAACGACCAUCUACUAUCAGGCCCAGAUAUGACAAAUAAUUUAUUCGGAAUUUUAUUUUAUACUUUAAUGUUGAUGAUGGUAUCACAGGCACAGAAGGUGUAGACAAAGCUAUUCAGCUUGCAAAGGAAGCUCAGGAACUCUGUGCUAUGGGUGGUUUGAGAUUACAUAAGUUCGUGUGUAACAACAGAUCGGUACUAGAGAGUAUAGAACCAUCAGAAUGUGCCACUAGGUGCGUUUACAUGGACACUUGUAAUCCGAUCGUAAACAGGUGUAUGAAAAGCUGAAAGAAGCAGGUGUAAACCGGUCAAUUGACCAAAUAAAAAACAGAUGGAAAUCUCUUAAGGCUGCUUAUUACAAGGCACACUCACAGAACAACAAAAGUGGAGAAUCGCCAUCGACUUUCUUAUCCAUACUCUUAUCCAUAGAUGCCUUGUCCUGGGCUCGGGAAGGGGCCUUUUAAUGACGUGAUAGAUACACACAGCCUGAAUCAUAUCAUCACGCGCUCGUUGUCUCCUAAUUAGCAACCGAAGAUGUAAAAUAUUAAGUCUGCUUUUUAAAAGAACAAAAAGAAGCAGUGACAAUGCAGCGGCUAGUACGUCCAUCCUGGAACGGCGGAAAUCCUGUUUUUGUGGACUGUGCGUAUGUCAAGAGAUCUAAUCUGAUUCUAAUCAUGUGUCAUGUAAACGUGCAUAACAAUCUGAUUACUUUAUACCGCGUUCAUGUAAACUCUGCGAUCGGAUUCGUCAAUCUGAUUGAAUUCAGUCUGAUCUGAUUAAAAAGUGUCCAUGUAAACGCACCUAUUGAAGUGAAGACUUUUGACCUUUCCUUCUCUGACUCACCAGUAGAAAGAGCAUUAGGGAUGGUGGCACAUUGAAUCCGACACCUUUCAAUUUAGAAUUUGCUUGAAUGACCAGCCUGCGACUUGCCAUGGCAUCUUAUUCGCAGUUGCCUCCCUUUAAGAACCGUUAAAGGUUCAUUGCUCCUUUCCUACUUACUGGAAAAAGGGUUUUGCGUGACAUGUGUAGGAAUGGCAGGCUGGGAUGACUCGCUUCUGAAUGAACUUCAACCAGUGUGGCAACGAUGGAAGGAUUAUCUUCCUAAUCUGGGAAAAAUUAACAUACCACGUUGCUAUGUACCAGCUGACUACCAGUGUUCGUAUUUGAGAUUACAUAUUUGAGUUAAAUAUUAUAUUAUAUACGUAUAUAUGUAAUUAUUAUAUAUCUGGCUGUGUAAGUUGCAGCAAGCAAUACCUUGAAGGUGGAGCUUGGUUUUACAGACGUUGAUGAAUACUUCUGGACAGAUUCCAAAGUUGUUUUGGGAUACAUCAGUAAUCAGGCACAUCACUUUCACAUGUUUGUGUCUAAUAGGAUGCAGAAGAUAUAUCUCAGCACAACUCCCCAGCAGUGGCGAUAUGUGCCUUCUGACAAAAACCCUGCAGAUCUAGCCUCUGUAAGUGUAAGCUAGCUUCUGACAUCAAACUGGUUUACUGGACUUCACUUCUUGUGGGAGAAGGAAAGUUCUCAAGCUGUAGAUGUCAUUACAGAAAUCCUGAUCGGAGACCCUUAAGGUUAAGAGGGCUCAGACACUGAAUGUACAAACCAUGAGUUAGUCUCUCAGAACUCUUUUCAAAGUUUUCUUCAUGGUAGAAAGGCACACAAGCUGUUGACCGUCUCCAACAUGCCAUGUGUAACUAGUCAACAAGCCACAGCGCUAUGCAAGAGCGUGAAGAAGCACGAUGCAUCAUCAUAAGGGAUCUACAGGGACAAGUUUAUCCUGAGUUUAUCCUGAGUUUAAGUUGCUCAGUAAGGAAGUACAGCUUCCAUCUCGGAGUAAACUAUAUCAUAUGGAUGCCUUUCUAGACCAAGAGGGGAUCCUCAGGGUGGGUGGAAGAUUGAAAAAUGCGUCUCUCCCUACUUCACAGAAACAUCCAGUGAUCAUUCCGAAGAAUAUAGAUAAGAUGCCAGAAAAAAAAAAAACAGGAACUCAUGAGGAAUUUUAUUUCCAAAUAGUCACAAGGUUUUCAAAGAGAACUGAGGAUAAAUUGAGUGAAAUGGCUGACUGGAAACCACCAUCACAGACACCAGGAGAGGUACUUGAAGAGGAGUGCCAAGAGUAUGCAGAGACCAGGAGGAGUCUUAAGAAGGAUGUAGAGGAACUUCAAGAGAUAAUUCCCUGAGAACACUAAAGCUGGAGCUGCUGGAGUUUAACCUGGACGUGGACGAGCCACAGAGACUCCAAGAACUAGGAGAGCAGGAGGUCGCCAAGGUGAGAGAGAAGAUUGAGCUGGAGAACCUGGCAAAAAGUUAUCUGCGGGACGUUCUCAAGAAAAAGUACUAGGACUCUGUGAGCAUGAAAGGGAAGGUCAUUAAGGCCUUCCACUCAGGGUGUGAAGUGGAGAACUUUCCCAUGAAUGAACGGACAGUAAAGGAACUAGAAGAGCUUUCCAGGGUAGAGGCCAUUCGAGAGAUGGAAAAAGCCGACACUAGUGUAUGUAUACAAUGCUGUAAUAUGCAGAUACAGGCUGAAGAGAUUCGAAUGCAAAAGGUUCAUCAUACAUGUUUUCUGUUGUGUUCGAGGCAACAUUAGAGAAAGACGAGAAGAUUAAAUGGCUUGACGUGGAGAGCUUAGAGUUUACAGGUAGUCUGAGCGCUCAUUAUGGAGGUCCUAACCCUCACCUGUACAGCCAGUUUGAUCUGCAUACAAGAGACCAGAAGAUGAACCAGAUCAUCCUGCUACAGGUCUGCAGGGCAAUAUUAAAGUCUUUAGAUCCAGAAUUUUCACCCCCUCAUCCCUCAUCCCUCUAUGUAGCUGAUCUGUAAAUAGUUCUGAGUCUGUAAAUAGGUUUAUCUUUUAGUGAAAGUGCUUAUAGAGU